CAGUCGCCACGGUAAUACGAAGGGGGCUAGCGUUGUUCGGAAUUACUGGGCGUAAAGCGCACGUAGGCGGAUACUUAAGUCAGGGGUGAAAUCCCGGGGCUCAACCCCGGAACUGCCUUUGAUACUGGGUAUCUCGAGUCCGGAAGAGGUGAGUGGAAUUCCGAGUGUAGAGGCGAAAUUCGUAGAUAUUCGGAGGAACACCAGUGGCGAAGGCGGCUCACUGGUCCGGUACUGACGCUGAGGUGCGAAAGCGUGGGGAGCAAACAGGAUUAGAUACCCCCGUAGUCCCUGUCUCUUAUAC
rnacentral:rRNA from 1 species